UGGGGAAUUUUGGACAAUGGGCGAAAGCCUGAUCCAGCAAUGCCGCGUGUGUGAAGAAGGCCUUCGGGUUGUAAAGCACUUUUGUCCAGAAAGAAAUCCUUGGCUCUAAUACAGUCGGGGGAUGACGGUACCGGAAGAAUAAGCACCGGCUAACUACGUGCCAGCAGCCGCGGUAAUACGUAGGGUGCAAGCGUUAAUCGGAAUUACUGGGCGUAAAGCGUGCGCAGGCGGUUUGCUAAGACCGAUGUGAAAUCCCCGGGCUCAACCUGGGAACUGCAUUGGUGACUGGCAGGCUAGAGUAUGGCAGAGGGGGGUAGAAUUCCACGUGUAGCAGUGAAAUGCGUAGAGAUGUGGAGGAAUACCGAUGGCGAAGGCAGCCCCCUGGGCCAAUACUGACGCUCAUGCACGAAAGCGUGGGGAGCAAAACAGGAUUAGAUACCCCUGGUAGUCCACGCCCUAAACGAUGUCAACUAGUUGUUGGGGAUUCAUUUUCCUUAGUAACGUAGCUAACGCGUGAAGUUGACCGCCUGGGGAGUACGGUCGCAAG
rnacentral:rRNA from 1 species